AAAAAAAAGAAAAAAGGAAAAAAAGAAUGAUGAAUUCUUGGUUGAAUUCCAGGUGGGUUUUCAUAAAUCUUCUCCUUCAGGGGAUUCUUGUUUUAUGCAUGAGUUGCCUCUUGGAAUCUGUUAUAGAAGCUACUACUCAUGGAAACGAGACUGACCGACUGGCUUUACUAGACUUCAAGAAUCUAAUAACUCAAGAUCCUCUUCAUGUAAUGAGUUCCUGGAAUGAUUCAGUCCAUUUCUGCAAUUGGUAUGGUGUUUCAUGCAGCUCGUCUAGUGAUAGAGUAGCAAGUUUGAACCUGGAAUCUCAAAGAUUGGCUGGCUCCUUACCACCUUCUAUAGGCAACCUCACCUAUCUUACAAGAAACAGCUUGCAAAACAACAGCUUUUUUGGUGAGCUUCCUCAAGAAAUAGGUCGUCUAUGGCGCUUGCAGCACAUAAACAUUACCUAUAAUUCCUUUGGCGGGAAAAUUCCAACCAACCUCACUUACUGUAAGGAACUUACAACAUUUUCAGCAUCUUACAACAACUUCAUAGGGGAGAUUCCAGAACAGCUUACCACAUUGUCGAAGUUGUUUAUCCUUAGUCUUGGAAGGAACAACCUUACAGGAAGCAUCCCAACCUGGAUAGGGAACUUCUCUUCUCUGUUUGUACUUUCACUGCCCUGAAUAAUUUUGUAGGAAACAUACCUAGUGAGAUCGGUCGACUCUCAGGUUUGGGCGUUUUUCAAUUUUAUGGCAAUUCUCUUUCUGGUAUGAUCCCUUCUUCAAUCUAUUAUCUUUCUUCCAUAUACUACUUCUCUGUCGCUCAAAACCAGCUUCAUGGGUAAUUACCACAACAUGUUGGCCUGACUCUUCCUAACCUUAGAAUAUUUGCUGGUGGUGCUAACAAUUUUACAGGGGUUAUUCCUGUAUCAUUGUCAAACGCUUCAGGACUUCAGGUGCUUGAUUUUGCUAUAAAUAGUCUUGCUGGGACUAUUCCCAAGAGUCUACAAAGAUUGCAAAGCUUAGUUAGACUUAAUUUUGAUGGUAAUAACUUGGGAAAUGGGGAAAUUGAUGACUUGAAUUUUCUUACUUCUUUGGCUAACUGCACAAGUUUAGAGGUUUUGGGUCUGGGAAGAAAUCAUUUUGGAGGAGAAUUGCCUGCCUCCAUAGCCAACCUUUCAACCCAGUUAAAGAUUUUUACUUUAGGAGAGAAUCUGAUUCAUGGAAGCAUCCCUAUUGGGAUUGAAAACCUAGUUAACUUGACCCUUCUGGGAUUGGAAGGUAACUUCCUCAGUGGAAAUGUUCCGGAUGUUAUUGGAAGCCUGCAGAAAUUAGAGGGUUUGGAAUUGAAUUAUAAUAGAUUCUCCGGAUCAAUCCCACCCACCCUAGGUAACUUGACUAGAUUGACUAGGCUUUUCAUGGAGGAAAACGAUUUUGAGGUUGGCAUACCUGAAAGUCUAGGAAACUGCAAAAGUCUUCUACAUAUAAACCUCUCAAGUAAUAAUCUUAAUGGAAGCAUACCCAAACAGGUCAUCGGUCUUUCUUCCCUCUCAAUUUCUUUGGUGAUGUCUCAUAAUUCCUUGACUGGUUCCAUACCAUUAGAAGUAGGUAACUUGGACAAUCUCAUGGAAUUGGAUUUGUCGGAAAACAAAUUGUCUGGUGCAAUUCCUAGCUCCCUUGGUGGUUGUAUUAGUUUGGAACGCCUGCAUUUAGGGGUAACAAAUUUGGAGGAACAAUUCCUUAGUCUUUGAAAAAUUUAAGAGGUAUAGAAGAAUUUGAUCUUUCACGCAAUAACUUGUUUGGCGAGAUUCCUGGAUUUCUCGGAAAGUUACUGUCUCUCAAGCGUCUCAAUCUUUCUUAUAAUGACUUUGAGGGAGAGGUGGCAGCAGAAGGUAUAUUUUCAAAUGCAAGUGCCAUUUCAAUAAAUGGAAAUGAUAAGCUCCGCGGUGGUAUCCCAGAAUUACUAUUGCCAGCAUGCUCCAAGAAAAAGCAAGAAAAACCUCUAAAGCUGAAGGUAAUAAUCUCUGCAACAAUCGCAGUUGUAUUUUCAAUUGUUUCAAUAUUAUGUUCUAUUGCUAUUAUCCGCAUGGGCAAAAAAUCAAGAAAGAAAAGUUCCAAAGCUCCUCUUUCAGAGGAACGGCAAGCAGGUAUGUCCUAUUCAGAAAUUGUGAAAUCAACUGAUGGCUUCUCUGCUGAAAAUUUGAUUGGCUCGGGGAGUUUUGGUUCCGUAUACAAAGGAACUCUCUCUGGUGACGGAAAAACUGUUGCCAUUAAGGUACUGAACCUUGAACAGCAAGGUGCUUCACAGAGUUUUAUUGAUGAAUGUGAUACAUUGAGAAGCAUACGGCAUCGUAAUCUCCUAAGAAUCAUCACUGCCUGCUCAACCAUUGAUCAUCAAGGCAAUGACUUUAAAUGUCUCGUUUUUGAGUUCAUGUCAAAUGGAAGUCUGGACGAGAGGUUGCAUCCUAAAGCAGACAAGCAAGUUCCCGAUAAGAGAUUGAGCCUUAUCCAGAGACUGAAUAUAGCCACUGAUAUUGCUUCUGCAUUGGAUUAUCUGAUCACCGUUGUGAAACUCCAAUUGAUCAUUGUGAUCUAAAGCCAAGUAAUGUACUCCUUGAUGAAGACAUGACUGCCCAUGUUAGUGAUUUUGUAUUGGCAAGGUUCCUCCUGCAAGCAUCAAAAAAUCCCUUCAAAACUGAAGCAAUGUCAGUUGCUUUAAAGGGCUCAAUUGGCUACAUCCCUCCAGGUAUUUGUUUCAACCUGAAAACCAAUGUUGAACUCAUGGUGAUAUUGAUCUUUAAAUCAGUAAUACUUAUGCACAAUAUGCCACAGCUUAUGAAGUCCCGAUCUUUAAAUUACUGAACUCUGCUGAAUUGUGAAGCAUUCUUGUGUGAAGUGUAAUAUAAUUGCCUUAAUUGCUCAUCUUAUUGUCUUUUUGUUGAGAACUAGCUUCCAACUUUUAGGCUUCCAACAAAGAAUUAUGGGUGUCACACAGUUUUUAUAUCAGUUUUCAGAAGUCAGUCGUCAAUGGCUGAAAUUGAACCAUCAGCUUUUGUCCCUUUAACCGUAGGUCUCUCAGACUGCAGCUACUAAACCAAACAGUCCUCAGAGUCAACAAAGCACUAGUGUCAGUGCUAACAUCAUAUUAUACUAUAUUGCAGAGUAUGGAUUGGGUGGGCAUGUCUCUGUACUUGGAGAUGUUUACAGUUUCGGGAUACUAUUGCUGGAAAUGUUUACGGGGAAAAGGCCUACCGAUGACAUGUUCAAAGAUGAUCUAAGCAUCCACAAGUUUGUUGCAAUAGCUUUGCCUGAAAAUGCCAUGGAUGUCAUUGACAUAGCAAUGCUUGACGAAGUAGAAAAUGUUGAUAAUGAGACAAAUGAAGAGGCAGACGUAGAAGAAAAGGCAAUAAUCAAAGACAAUGACGCACAGGCCAAUACAAGUGGAAUAGCAGAAUGCCUGGUCUCAGCUAUGAGAAUUGGACUGUCUUGCUCUUCAACAUCACCUGGAGAGCGAAUGGCUAUGAACUUAGUUGUCAACAAAUUGCAUGACAUUAGAGAUUCAUUCCUUACAUCAAACAACAGAAAUAGAAAAACUAUGAAUUAAUAGAUAUUUUUACCCAAAAAAGCAUCAAGUGAUUGCUGGUGCAUUUAAUUUGAGAUCAAUUAAUUUCCUAUUAUGUGGUUAACUAUUCAAGUUGCUGUAACCAACAACCAUAAAUUCAUUAUUAGCAUAUGGUGUUGUGCUG
rnacentral:misc_RNA from 1 species